UUGCACCUGAUGGCGAGUGGCGAACGGGUGAGUAAUGCAUCGGAACGUGCCCAAUCGUGGGGGAUAACGGCAGCGAAAGCUGUGCUAAUACCGCAUACGAUCUACGGAUGAAAGCGGGGGACCUUCGGGGCCUCGCGCGAUUGGAGCGGCCGAUGUUAGAUUAGGUAGUUGGUGGGGUAAAGGGCUCACCCCAGCCGACGAUCUAUAGCUGGUCUGAGAGGACGACCAGCCACACUGGAACUGAGACACGGUCCAGACUCC
rnacentral:rRNA from 1 species